GGCGGCGUAGCUCAGGUGGUAGAGCGAGGGAUUCAUAACCCCUAGGUCGCAGGUUCGAGUCCUGCCGCCGCUACCA
rnacentral:tRNA from 3 species